rnacentral:rRNA from 1 species
CCUACGGGAGGCAGCAGUGGGGGAUAUUGCACAAUGGGGGAAACCCUGAUGCAGCGACGCCGCGUGAGUGAAGAAGUAUUUCGGUAUGUAAAGCUCUAUCAGCAGGGAAGAAAAUGACGGUACCUGACUAAGAAGCCCCGGCUAACUACGUGCCAGCAGCCGCGGUAAUA